rnacentral:tRNA from 1 species
GGCCGAGUGGCGAAACAGGCAGACGCACGGGACUUAAAAUCCCGGGGAGAGUCAUCUCCGUGCGGGUUCGAUUCCCGCCUCGGCCA